UGCAGAGGUCCCAAGCGUUGUUCGGAUUCAUUGGGCGUAAAGGGUGCGUAGGCGGCGCGGUAAGUCGGGUGUGAAAUCUCGGAGCUUAACUCCGAAACUGCAUUCGAUACUGCCGUGCUUGAGGACUGGAGAGGAGACUGGAAUUUACGGUGUAGCGGUGAAAUGCGUAGAUAUCGUAAGGAAGACCAGUGGCGAAGGCGGGUCUCUGGACAGUUCCUGACGCUGAGGCACGAAGGCCAGGGGAGCAAACGGG
rnacentral:rRNA from 1 species